rnacentral:rRNA from 1 species
AGUAGCGAAUGAGGAGUGAGAAACUCCUCCACCGAAAGACCAAGGGUUCCAGGGUCAAGCUAAUCUGCCCUGGGUAAGUCGGGACCUAAGGCGAGGCCGACAGGCGUAGUCGAUGGACAACGGGUUGAUAUUCCCGUACCCGCAAAGGAACGCCCAUGAUGAGCCCGGUGUUGCUAACCACCCGAUCCCGCAUCCGACUUCGGUUGGGUGUUGGGGGAGCGUGGGACCCGAUCCGGUAGUAGUCAAGCGAUGGGGUGACACAGGAAGGUAGCUCCGCCAGUGAGUGGUAGUACUGGUGUAAGGGUGUAGGUAGCGGGGAUAGGCAAAUCCGUCUCCGUGUUGAUCUGAGACCUGAUGCAUAGCCGAUUGAGGCGAAGUAGAGUGAUCCUAGGCUGUCGAGAAAAGCCUCUAGCGAGUUCCGAGUGGCCCGUACCCUAAACCGACACAGGUGGUCAGGUAGAGAAUACCAAGGUGAUCGAGAUAAUCGUGGUUAAGGAACUCGGCAAAAUGCCCCCGUAACUUCGGGAGAAGGGGGGCCGGAUCCGUGAACCCACUUGCUGGGGGAAGCGGUGAUGGCCGCAGAGACCAGGGGAAAGCGACUGUUUACUAAAAACACAGGUCCGUGCGAAGUCGCAAGACGAUGUAUAUGGACUGACGCCUGCCCGGUGCUGGAACGUUAAGGGGAAGUGUUAGGGCAACCGAAGCACUGAACUUAAGCGCCAGUAAACGGCGGUGGUAACUAUAACCAUCCUAAGGUAGCGAAAUUCCUUGUCGGGUAAGUUCCGAUCUGCACGAAUGGCGUAACGACU